CAUGGCUGUCGUCAGCUCGUGUCGUGAGAUGUUGGGUUAAGUCCCGCAACGAGCGCAACCCUUGCCAUUAGUUGCUACGAAAGGGCACUCUAAUGGGACUGCCGGUGACAAACCGGAGGAAGGUGGGGAUGACGUCAAGUCCUCAUGGCCCUUAUAGGUGGGGCUACACACGUCAUACAAUGGCCGGUACAAAGGGCAGCCAACCCGCGAGGGGGAGCCAAUCCCAUAAAGCCGGUCGUAGUCCGGAUCGCAGUCUGCAACUCGACUGCGUGAAGUCGGAAUCGCUAGUAAUCGUGGAUCA
rnacentral:rRNA from 1 species